UGGUAGCUUUCUAUGUGGCGCUGCAAUGAAGAACUCCGUGCACGUGCAGAUGAACUUCACAGCACUUCCAAAAGAGAUGCAAAGCAUUACAUUGGUAUGUUCUUUUUAUUUUUAGUUUGAACUGACAUACUUAUUCAAAUAUUUCCCCAUCACUGGUGAUAGCAUUUAUUUAUUUUCUUCAUUUACCUUUUGUAUUCUUUUUGGUGAUUCCAGUCAUCAUCUAACUAUGUCUGUGGUCUUUAAUCUUUAUAGUUUCAUUGAUAUUAUAAGUCUGCAUACUUGUACCCCUUUUCCAUUAUCUUUAAUACAUUCUUUUGAUCUAAUCUUGUGCUCCUUGAAUAAUUCUUUCCCUUAUUAUGAAGGUGCUAGUAAAUGGUAAUUAAUCUGGGAGUAGAUUGUAUUAUUUAAUUCUUCUUAAAAAUUCAAAUAUGACGGGUUUCUGUUUGUCUUGUUGAUAGUUCUUCUCAUGUUUGAUACCAGAGUUCUGGAAGCAAAUUCCGCCAAAUGAACCAUAUCGUGUUAUUCUUGCUGAUGUGAGGGACAAGCUGUAUCAUACACGUGAACGUGCUCGUCAAUUGCUAGCCAAUGGAAUCUCUGAUAUUCCAGAGACAAGCUGUAUCAUACACGUGAACGUGCUCGUCAAUUGCUAGCCAAUGGAAUCUCUGAUAUUCCAGAGGAGGCAACCUUCAUCAAUGUUGAUGAGGUCUGGCCCUGACAAGAACUUGUAUCUUCGCUAAUUCGCUCACAUUUUUAAUUUUCAGAUUGCAAGUUGUGAACAAAUUGACUGAAUAUUUUUGAAACAUUAGAUGUAUCAUAGAGACUCAUUAUUACUGUCAUUGCUUUAUUAUGCGCAAUUGCCUGUGGGCUUGAUCAACAAUCUCUGUGGAUUAGUAUAUUAUCACUCUAUGCCAACUCAUUCUACAGCACACACUUCUAUAGAUGAUAAAAAUAAAAGCAAACAAAUCCCUUUUACCUUGUACAGUGUAUAGGUUAUUUUAAGUGGCAAGUAAUUAAUUAAUUGGUUCGAUCCAUCUCACUUCUAGGUUUGUUUUGAACUACUCACAAAUGGAGAAUUUAAGUAUGUUAAAUGAAUUUAUGCUUUUUGAGAGUGAAAGUUUCUGAUAGAAGAGGGUAAAUAACCAACAUCCUAAUGGAAUACUGUUGAAAUGUCUCCUCAGAGGAACUAGUGCUGAUGAAUGUAGUGAUGGAUGCAGUGCCAUAUUGACAAUAGAACGUAACUAAUUGAAGAUACUCGUACACAAGAAACCAAUUAGAGGAGAAAUUAAAUUCUGAAGAAUUUAAUGAUGGAUUUGUCAUAUAAAUAGUAUACCUUUAUAACAAACAUUGAAUAUGCAUUUAGCUUGCAUUUUAUUUCUUUAGUUUAUUUGUGAUCCAUGAACACCAAAAAUAGUAAAGUUGCAAGAAAAUAGAACUGUUGUGUUGUGUAAUGUUUAUGUAAUUCUGCAUACUGAUGAUUCAUUUUCUUCAUCUUCAGUUUCUUGAGCCUCUUAAGCUGUGUUAUAGAUCACUCAGUGAUUGCGGUGAUCGGCCAAUUGCCGAUGGAAGCCUUCUUGAUUUCUUACGACAAGUUUCAACGUUUGGGCUUGCACUCGUGAGGCUUGAUAUAAGGCAAGAGUCAGAUAGGCACACUGAUGUUCUAGAUGCUAUUACAAGGCACCUGGAGAUCGGGUCGUACAAAGAAUGGUCAGAAGAACGCAGACAGGAGUGGCUUUUAUCUGAACUUAGUGGCAAACGCCCUCUUGUUGGGCCCGAUCUUCCCAAAAUCGAAGAAAUUGUUGAUGUCUUAGAAACCUUUCAUGUCAUUGCUGAACUCCCGUCGGAUAACUUUGGGGCCUACAUAAUUUCCAUGGCAACUGCCCCCUCUGAUGUCCUUGCAGUAGAGCUUUUACAACGCGAGUGCCAUGUCAAAAAUCCUCUAAGGGUGGUCCCAUUGUUUGAAAAGCUUGAUGAUCUUGAGGCUGCACCUGCUGCUGUGGCUCGGCUUUUCUCAAUAGAUUGGUAUCGUAAUAGGAUUAAUGGGAAACAAGAAGUCAUGAUUGGGUAUUCGGAUUCAGGAAAGGAUGCUGGACGGCUUUCUGCAGCAUGGCAGUUAUAUAAGGCCCAGGAGGAGCUUAUAAAGGUCGCAAAACAAUAUGGCGUAAAGCUCACAAUGUUUCAUGGCCGAGGUGGGACGAUUGGAAGAGGAGGCGGCCCAACCCAUCUUGCUAUAUUAUCUCAGCCACCGGACACCAUUCAUGGCUCGCUUCGUGUCACUGUUCAAGGUGAAGUUAUUGAACAAUCAUUUGGCGAGGAGCACUUAUGUUUCAGAACGCUCCAACGUUUUACUGCAGCUACACUUGAGCAUGGAAUGCGCCCCCCUGUUGCACCGAAGCCAGAAUGGCGUGCUCUCAUGGAUGAGAUGGCUGUGUUUGCCACAAAAGAGUAUCGUUCUGUGGUUUUCCAGGAACCUAGAUUUGUUGAGUACUUCCGCCUCGUAAGUAUUUAUAUACUAUAGUAUUUUUUUGGUCAGAAUCUGCAAGAAAAUCACAUAUAAACACAGUAAACCUAAUAGGUUUAGAUUGAAGAAUGGUAACUUCUACAUGUGGAAAUAUAAGUUGGCAGUUUGACUAAAGAAGACUGAUAAUUGUUGGCUUACCCAUAUGGUGAAUGGGGCUUUUGUAACAUUUUCUUGUCUCGCUCUCUUUCUGAGAAUUGCAGGCAACACCUGAGUUAGAGUAUGGUCGGAUGAACAUCGGAAGCCGCCCAUCAAAAAGAAAGCCUAGCGGUGGAAUAGAAUCACUUCGAGCCAUUCCAUGGAUAUUUGCGUGGACGCAGACAAGAUUUCAUCUUCCUGUCUGGCUUGGCUUUGGAGCUGCAAUCAAGCAUGCCAUUGGGAAGGACAUUAGAACUCUUCAAACUCUCAAGGAUAUGUACAAUGGAUGGCCUUUCUUCAGAGUGACAAUUGACUUGAUUGAAAUGGUUUUGGCCAAAGGAGACCCAGAAAUUACUGCUUUGUACGACAAACUUUUAGUGUCAGAAGAUUUGUGGCCAUUUGGAAAGCAACUGGGAAACAAUUAUGAAGAAACUAAGAAUCUGAUCCUUCAGGUAAGGGCCUUCUUUCCAUUUUAAUACCUUUAUUCACUAAAACGUAACUGUUCUACAACCUUAAUGUGGAUGCUAUUGUUGUUUCCCAUCACGCUUUACACUAAAAACUGUGUCCUGCUAAAUGAAAGAUGAAAUGGAAACACUUUCUCAAUGUGUCACUUUUCUUUGUGAAUAUAUGGUAAUUACUUUUCGAGUAUGUGAAAAAUUGACGGUUAGUUGAUUUUUGUCAACCUCCAAGAAAUAGAAGGUGAAAAAAGAACGUUGAGCUGAGAAUGCAUGGUGGAUUUUAAUUUAUUUGUUUUGCAUGCACAUCGUUCUUUUUAUUUUGGUUAACGAUAAAGAAGUUCAGUUGCUACUAGUUCAUGAUUAGUUCGACUUCCAUUUAAUGGAAGUAAUGCAAAAUAUCCUGAAAUGGGAAGCUGUUACGGUCUCUUCUUAGGUUGCUGGACACAAGGAACUUCUUGAAGGAAAUCCCUACUUGAGGCAGAGACUCCGACUUCGGGAUCCGUACAUCACCGUCCUUAAUGUCUGCCAAGUCUACACGUUGAAGCAGAUACGCGAUCCAAGUUACCGUGUAAAGGUGAGGCCACAUCUCUCAAAAGAGAUAAUGGAAAUGGAUAUGAGAAAACCGGCUGCUGAACUGGUGAAGCUCAACCCUAAAAGUGAGUAUGCUCCCGGGUUGGAAGACACGCUUAUCUUGACCAUGAAGGGUAUUGCAGCUGGAAUGCAGAACACGGGCUAGGUCGGGUCAUCUUGCCCGUGCUAGAUAUAUGGUGUCGGUUAAAUUACAAGGAAAUAUCAAGUUAUAUAACGCGGCACUCGUUUGUUGGAUGCGAUAAUGUUGCCUGUAAGCAUGUACUUAACCAAGUAGCUUGCCCCAAAUAAAAUCUUAAAGCUUUUGUAUUUUGGUCAUUUGGUGCCUACCUUGAUAUGACAAUGCUCUGUGAGGGAUCAUCAAAGGUUUAAGAAUACGGAGAUUAAGAAUUUGCUAUUUUAUUUUGAAAUGAAG
rnacentral:lncRNA from 1 species